GACGAACGCUGGCGGCGUGCUUAACACAUGCAAGUCGAACGGAAAGGCCCUGCUUUUGUGGGGUGCUCGAGUGGCGAACGGGUGAGUAACACGUGAGUAACCUGCCCUUGACUUUGGGAUAACUUCAGGAAACUGGGGCUAAUACCGGAUAGGAGCUCCUGCUGCAUGGUGGGGGUUGGAAAGUUUCGGCGGUUGGGGAUGGACUCGCGGCUUAUCGGCUUGUUGGUGGGGUAGUGGCUUACCAAGGCUUUGACGGGUAGCCGGCCUGAGAGGGUGACCGGCCACAUUGGGACUGAGAUACGGCCCAGACUCCUACGGGAGGCAGCAGUGGGGAAUAUUGCACAAUGGGCGGAAGCCUGAUGCAGCAACGCCGCGUGCGGGAUGACGGUCUUCGGGUUGUAAACCGCUUUCGCCUGUGACGAAGCGUGAGUGACGGUAAUGGGUAAAGAAGCACCGGCUAACUACGUG
rnacentral:rRNA from 1 species